rnacentral:rRNA from 1 species
UGGGGAAUCUUGGACAAUGGGGGCAACCCUGAUCCAGCCAUGCCGCGUGAGUGAAGAAGGCCUUAGGGUUGUAAAGCUCUUUCAACGGUGAAGAUGAUGACGGUAGCCGUAGAAGAAGCACCGGCUAACUCCGUGCCAGCAGCCGCGGUAAUACGGAGGGUGCGAGCGUUAAUCGGAAUUACUGGGCGUAAAGCGCGCGUAGGCGGUUGCUUAAGUCGGAUGUGAAAGCCCCGGGCUCAACCUGGGAACUGCAUUCGAUACUGGGCGACUAGAGUACGAGAGAGGGGAGGUAGAAUUCCACGUGUAGCGGUGAAAUUCGUAGAUAUUCGGAGGAACACCAGUGGCGAAGGCGGCUCACUGGCUCGAU